rnacentral:rRNA from 1 species
GACGAACGCUGGCGGCGUGCCUAAUACAUGCAAGUAGAACGCUGAAGGAGGAGCUUGCUCUUCUGGAUGAGUUGCGAACGGGUGAGUAACGCGUAGGUAACCUGCCUGGUAGCGGGGGAUAACUAUUGGAAACGAUAGCUAAUACCGCAUAACAGUAGAUGUUGCAUGACAUUUACUUAAAAGGUGCAAUUGCAUCACUACCAGAUGGACCUGCGUUGUAUUAGCUAGUUGGUGGGGUAACGGCUCACCAAGGCGACGAUACAUAGCCGACCUGAGAGGGUGGUCGGCCACACUGGGACUGAGACACGGCCCAGACUCCUACGGGAGGGAGCAGUAGGGAAUCUUCGGCAAUGGACGGAAGUCUGACCGAGCAACGCCGCGUGAGUGAAGAAGGUUUUCGGAUCGUAAAGCUCUGUUGUAAGAGAAGAACGAGUGUGAGAGUGGAAAGUUCACACUGUGACGGUAUCUUACCAGAAAGGGACGGCUAACUACGUG